rnacentral:rRNA from 1 species
UACGUAGGGGGCAAGCGUUGUUCGGAAUUACUGGGCGUAAAGGGCGCGUAGGCGGCACGGCAAGUCGGGAGUGAAAGCCCGGGGCUCAACCCUGGAGGGUCUUCCGAAACUGCCGAGCUAGAGUGCGGAAGAGGCAACCGGAAUUCCCAGCGUAGCGGUGAAAUGCGUAGAUAUUGGGAAGAACACCAGAGGCGAAGGCGGGUUGCUGGGCCGACACUGACGCUGAGGCGCGAAAGCCAGGGGAGCAAACGGG